UACGGAGGGGGCUAGCGUUGUUCGGAAUUACUGGGCGUAAAGCGCACGUAGGCGGACCAGAAAGUUGGAGGUGAAAUCCCAGGGCUCAACCUUGGAACUGCCUUCAAAACUAUUGGUCUGGAGUUCGAGAGAGGUGAGUGGAAUUCCGAGUGUAGAGGUGAAAUUCGUAGAUAUUCGGAGGAACACCAGUGGCGAAGGCGGCUCACUGGCUCGAUACUGACGCUGAGGUGCGAAAGCGUGGGGAGCAAACAGG
rnacentral:rRNA from 1 species